CACAAAUGUGGAGGAGGGGCUUCUGGCUUUCCAAGCUAUUGCAGUUGGGUUAAACGACAACUUUAGGAUAUAUUUUAUGGUCUUAAGUAUAAGGUUAAGUUAUAAAAAAUCACAUGUGAUUCAUAGUUUCUGGUAGAAUUAAGAGCUAAUUUAUUUUUUAUUUUAUUAAUAUCUGUUGAGAAGAAAUAUUUAGGUUGGGAAAACUGAGUAUAAGCAUUUAUACUUAUGCAAUUUUUCUCUUGCUUUACCUACAGAACAUCACCUUCAUCUCUGCUGUAAUGCCCCCGAUGAAUAAUGUAAAAGAAAAUCAGCGCUCCUUACUGGAAGCCAUUUUACACGACAGGAUGGAAAAUCCAUCAGAUUUCAGGCUCUGUUGCUUCGACGAAACCUUGUGGUCACUGACGUUACACCGGGAUGGAGAGUCGUCUCUACUGCAGAAGUGACGGGGCCUCUGUGAGGUUUGGGGCCACAGUGUACUGACCCGGGGGCCCAGCAUAAACAUGCCAGUCAGUAGUCAAGGCCCACAGCUGUGUUGGAGGUGCCUCGGGGACCAGCAGUGGUGGCCAGCAGGCUUUAGGACAGAAGUUCUGGGGAACUGACCAGUGGCCCAGGCCUGGGGCCUAGUCUCAUUUUAACUUCAUUUAGGUCUGUACUUGUUUUCUCUAAACACUGCCUGGUCCCUUUAUGUUACCAUGUGUGCUGUUUGGAGUUAAGUGUAUAAAUGUUCUGUAAUUAGUCUCCUCUGUGUCUGAGCUCACGGACACGUUCUUAUUAUUUACACUCUAUUCAACUUCCUCUUUUUUUUUCUUGGCCUGACUUAAAGAUGUUUGUCUGUUUGUUUUGUAAAAAUAACCAACUGUUUAUUUGACUUCCCCAUGAAGUAAUUUCCUUCUAUAUUAUUUAAAUGUGUGUUUAUAUUUUUUUCCUCUUGAUUUUGGAUUGUUUUAUUAUUUUGCUAUAACCUUAUGUUCAGAGCUUAAAUCAUUUACUUUAUUAUUUUUACUUCUAAGGGGAACUGCUGUAAAUUUUCCUCUGCGUGCCACAGUGAGUGGACUCUAGAAGUUUCUGGAUGGAGCAUCGUGAUCACAAUUCAGUUUUAAUUUUGUUUCCAUGCUCAGCUCUGGGUUUAUUUGGACGCCCAAGCACCAUCACCGUUGUCCUUCUUUUGUUACUAACUUUGGGCUUCAUUAUAUUGUAUAGAAGAAAGUUUUCCAAAGAAUUCCAACCUUAAAAAUCACAUUAAGAAUUUUUAAAGCCUCAAAUGCCAAUUUUUGAGUGUUCCAAAAACAUAGGAUAGAAUUUAUGUUGCCUGUAGACUGUAGUAACAUACACCAAGCAACACAUACUACCAUACGCAAACAUAGUAGCCAUGUGCUGGCAUCAUCUACAGGGAUUGUUUCGAGGAACCCUUGGAGAUACUAAAUUGGGUGCUGCCCAGAUGUAAUAUUUGCAUAUAACCUCCCCACAUCUUCUCCUGUGCUCUAAGUCAUCUCUAGAUUAUUUAUAAUAGCUGAAGGCAAUGGGGAAGUUGUCUAAACAAUUGCUCAACUGCAUUAAGUGAAUGAAGUAAGAAAAAGUCUGUACUUUCUCAGCACAGAUAAGAUUAUCUUCAAGGAUUUCUAAUUCAGAGUUGGUUGCAGAUCCCCAGAUGCAGAGAGCCAGAUGUGUGUCUCUACACAUCCUGUUGUGCCAGCUUCUUGGAGAAUCCUGACUAAUAUGGACCUCAAAUUUUUCAUGUCAAUUUUCCUGGUCAGAUAAAUAAAUUGUCUUGGAUUCCCUAAUUCUAGCUAUAC
rnacentral:lncRNA from 1 species